rnacentral:rRNA from 1 species
ACGAACGCUGGCGGCGUGCUUAACACAUGCAAGUCGAACGGAGUGUUUCAAAAAGCUUGCUUUUUGCAACACUCAGUGGCGCACGGGUGAGUAACACGUGGGCAACCUGCCCGGAAGACUGGGAUAACACUUCGAAAGGGGUGCUAAUACCGGAUACCUUCACGGAGUCGCAUGACUUUGUGCAGAAAGAAAUUCGCUUCCGGAUGGGCCCGCGUCCCAUUAGCUAGUUGGCGAGGUAGCGGCUCACCAAGGCGACGAUGGGUAGCUG